rnacentral:rRNA from 1 species
AUUGAACGCUGGCGGCAGGCCUAACACAUGCAAGUCGAGCGGUAGAGAGAAGCUUGCUUCUCUUGAGAGCGGCGGACGGGUGAGUAACACGUGGGCAACCUACCUUAUAGAGGGGAAUAGCCUUCCGAAAGGAAGAUUAAUACCGCAUAACAUUGCAGUUUCGCAUGAAGCAGCAAUUAAAGGAGAAAUCCGCUAUAAGAUGGGCCCGCGGCGCAUUAGCUAGUUGGUGAGGUAAAGGCUCACCAAGGCGACGAUGCGUAGCCGACCUGAGAGGGUGAUCGGCCACAUUGGGACUGAGACACGGCCCAGACUCCUACGGGAGGCAG